GGCGUGUUCCCCUCUGAGCCUGCGCGUUAAGAGUUGCAGUACCAAAAUGCGCAGACGCCAAGUUGGAGGCUACGACUUCAGUUUAGUAAGGAGAUAAAGGCUCCUUAGAAAGUGGGAUCCCAGGCCUUCUCCUACUCUUCAUUGGUUCUCCUGGGACAGAGUUGUCUAACUGACAAGUGAAGCCCACGUGAGGCCUAAGCUUGUUCUUGGGCUACUGUGUAGACUACCCAGGCAAGGGUUGAGGCAAGGAGGACGGGGUAGCAUCCACAUCCUGUAUCUCACAGCUGCUGAUAACUCCAGGGACACCAGACUGAGGAGUGGCACUAUUAGGAGGUGUAGCCUUGUUGGAGUAGGUGUGUCACUGUGGACAUGGGCUUAAUACCCUCAUCCUAGCUGCCUGGAAAUCAGUAUUCUGCUAGAAGCCUUCAGAUGAAGAUGUAGAACUCUCAGCUCUGUCUGCACCAUGCCUGCCUGGAUGCUGCCAUGUUCCUGCCUGGAUGAUACUGGACUGAACCCCUGAACCUCUUUCGGGAGAUGGGAGAUGGAGACGAGGACAGGAGAAAGAGAUGCCUUUUGACUUAGGCCAGCAAUGUCCAGCAAUGCAGGUGCAUCGAGCACACGUGCGGCAGAGAAGUGGCUUCUGGAAGCAGGAAGAAGCUUCAGCAGAAGAGCGCAGAAACCCAAAAUUUCCGGGAAAAUAUACUUAGAUGGUUUUAUUGUUGUUUAUGGAUUUGUUUAUUUGCUUGUUUGGGGGGGGACUAAGAGAUGACUUAUUCUGGAGCCACAAUGCAUGACCAUGGCCCAGGGACAAGGAUUAGGUUACCCCAACUCCCAUAGACCAGCAUGGAAGUAGUCUCAUGGUUUCCCAGAAAGUCAUACUUCAGGGGCUGGAGAGAUGGCUCAGCGGUUAAGAGCACUGACUGCCCUUCCAGAGGUCCUGAGUUCAAAUCCCAGCAACCACAUGGUGGCUCACAACCAUCUGUAAUGGGAUCCAGUGCCCUCUUCUGGUGUGUCUGAAAACAGCUGUAGUGUAUCCAUAUACAUAAAAUAAGUAAAUAAAAAAAAAAAGUCAUACAUCAAGGCAAGUCUAAAAUCAGUCGGUGGGCUGGUGGCACACACCUUUAAUCUCGGCACUUGGGAAGCAGAGGCAGGCGGAUCGUUCUGAGUUUGAGGUCAGCCUGGUCUACAGAGCUAGUUUCAGAACCUCCAAGGCUAUGCAGAGAAAUCCUGUCCUGAAAAACAAAAACAAAGAAAACAAAGUAAAAUUAAUGAGUAUAUCAGCAAGGUCCUUACAUGGAGAUGGGGGACGCUUUCAUGUACGCCUUAGAUGCUAUCUGAUGACCUGAUUAGCUUUUGGGUUCAUGGGUCCUAGUGGUAUGCUAAACGAAUAGAUUCCAACAGAUUAGUCUGAGAAUGGUAGUCAAGAAAGGAAUGCUAUCGAGGCUGCUAAAGGUAGCCCAGUACUCCAGUCUUUGCAGACCACUGCUGUUCUAACCAGUUGGUCUUUACAGACAUAGCUUCUUCCCAGUUCCUGUUUACAGUUCCCCUUGUUAGAUAAACAUCAUAUUUUGUGCAUUCAAAGAACCACAUAUUAUUUAUUAAGUAUUACAAGGCCUCAUAGGAAAGCUUACUCCUAGGAUACUAGCAUCCUAAACAAACAAACAAAAAAAAAAAAGAUAGAAGGAAAAGUCCUAAUUUGCUAGGUACAGUGACCCAUGCCAUUAACCCCCCUAUCUGGGUGACAGAGGCAGACAGAUCUCCGUGAAUUGGAUGCCAGCCUGGUUGUGUUCCGGUUAAUCAGAAUGACAGAGUGAAAACUUAUCUUUUAAAAAGUUACAUUUUUGGGGUUGGGGAUUUAGCUAAGUGGUAGAGCGCUUACCUAGCAAGCGCAAGGCCCUGGGUUCGGUCCCCAGCUCCGGAAAAAAAAAGUUACAUUUUGGGGGUUGUAGAGAUGGCUCAGAGGUUAAGAGCACUGACUGCUCUUCCAGAGGUCCUGAGUUCAAUUCCCCCACAUGGUGGCUCACAACCAUCUGUAAUGGGAUCUGAUGCCCUCUUCUGGCCUGCACGUGUACAUGCAGGUGGAGUGCUAUAUACAUAAUAAAUAAAUCUUUAAAAAAAAA
ensembl:lncRNA LOC102550011 uncharacterized LOC102550011